rnacentral:lncRNA from 1 species
ACUAGUCUCUGCAUAUAUAUUGGAAGGUACUAAUCAAUAUGUGAGUUGAUCAAGGAAAAAUCUGGCACGUACAUGCAAGUUGGCUGAAACAAGCAAGGCAUAUUAGAGGCUCACGUGUGGAAGAAAAAAGGAGCAAGGACCUGAUGGCAGUACGAAAAAGGAAGCUUAAUUAAUUAGGACUUUACGUAAGGAAAGUUAGAGUCCGUGUAUCUUAAUAUUUCUUUUUGUUUAGAUAUUUCGUAUCAAGUAGUUUUGAUACGGUUCCUUCUAGGAGUUGUUAGUUCAGAGUAUAAAUAUGUACCUCCGGUCAUUGUAAAAUCA